rnacentral:rRNA from 1 species
CAGUAGCCGCGGUAAUACGGAGGAUCCAAGCGUUAUCCGGAAUCAUUGGGUUUAAAGGGUCCGUAGGCGGUCUUGUAAGUCAGUGGUGAAAGCCCAUCGCUCAACGGUGGAACGGCCAUUGAUACUGCAGGACUUGAAUUAUUGGGAAGUAACUAGAAUAUGUAGUGUAGCGGUGAAAUGCUUAGAGAUUACAUGGAAUACCAAUUGCGAAGGCAGGUUACUACCAAUUGAUUGACGCUGAUGGACAAAAGCGUGGGUAGCGAACAGGAUUAGAGACCCGCGUAGUCCCUGUCUCUUAUAC